rnacentral:rRNA from 1 species
GGGUUGUGAGGUUAAGCGACUAAGCGUACACGGUGGAUGCCCUGGCAGUCAGAGGCGAUGAAGGACGUGCUAAUCUGCGAUAAGCGCCGGUAAGGUGAUAUGAACCGUUAUAACCGGCGAUUUCCGAAUGGGGAAACCCAGUGUGACUCGUCACACUAUCAUUAACUGAAUCCAUAGGUUAAUGAGGCGAACCGGGGGAACUGAAACAUCUAAGUACCCCGAGGAAAAGAAAUCAACCGAGAUUCCCCCAGUAGCGGCGAGCGAACGGGGAGGAGCCCAGAGC